rnacentral:rRNA from 1 species
CCCUUAGAUGUUCUGGGCCGCACGCGCGCUACAAUGAUGAAUUCAACGAGUUUAUAACCUUGGUUGAAAAGCCUGGGUAAUCUUUUGAACUUUCGUCGUGAUGAGGCUAGACCCUUGCAAUUAUUGGUCUCCAACGAGGAAUUCCUAGUAAACGCAAGUCAUCAGCUUGCAUUGAUUACGUCCCUGCCCUUUGUACACACCGCCCGUCGCACCUACCGAUUGAAUGGUCCGGUGAAAUCUUCGGAUUGAGACUUUGAUUUCUUCACGGAAAACGCUGUUUUAAAAAGUUGAUUAAACCUUACCAUUUAGAGGAAGGUGAAGUCGUAACA